rnacentral:rRNA from 1 species
CCCCUGACCGGGGUUGCGGACAGUGUCUGGUGGGUAGUUUGACUGGGGCGGUCUCCUCCCAAAGCGUAACGGAGGAGCACGAAGGUUAGCUAAUCCUGGUCGGACAUCAGGAGGUUAGUGCAAUGGCAUAAGCUAGCUUGACUGCGAGCGUGACGGCGCGAGCAGGUGCGAAAGCAGGUCAUAGUGAUCCGGUGGUUCUGAAUGGAAGGGCCAUCGCUCAACGGAUAAAAGGUACUCCGGGGAUAACAGGCUGAUACCGCCCAAGAGUUCAUAUCGACGGCGGUGUUUGGCACCUCGAUGUCGGCUCAUCACAUCCUGGGGCUGAAGUAGGUCCCAAGGGUAUGGCUGUUCGCCAUUUAAAGUGGUACGCGAGCUGGGUUUAGAACGUCGUGAGACAGUUCGGUCCCUAUCUGCCGUGGGCGCUGGAGAAUUGAGGGGGGCUGCUCCUAGUACGAGAGGACCGGAGUGGACGCAUCACUGGUGUUCGGGUUGUCAUGCCAAUGGCACUGCCCGGUAGCUAAAUGCGGAAGAGAUAAGUGCUGAAAGCAUCUAAGCACGAAACUUGCCCCG